rnacentral:misc_RNA from 1 species
AACAGCUUCGUGAUCAUCUUCGUGGUCACCGUGCUUCUCGCGGCGCUCGAUUUCUGGGUUGUGAAGAAUGUUAGCGGGAGGAUACUGGUCGGGCUGAGGUGGUGGAAUGAAAUCGAUGAACAAGGGGAGAGUAUUUGGAAGUUUGAGUCCUUGGAUCAGGAGUCACUUGCACGCAUGAACAAGAAGGAUUCAUGGCUCUUCUGGUGGACUCUUUAUCUCACGGCAGUUGCAUGGAUAUUUCUUGGGAUAUUCUCCCUUUUAAGGUUUCAAGCCGAUUAUCUACUGGUUGUGGGAGUUUGUUUGACUCUUAGCAUUGCGAAUAUUGUUGGCUUCACGAAGUGUCGCAAAGAUGCCAAGAAACAGAUCCAACAAUUUGCUACACAGACGAUAGCUACACGCUUCUCUUCGACAAUACAGUCAGCAUUCAGCGUCGUCUGAGCCGAACGGAGGUCAUAUAUAUAAGAGCAGUCUGUAAAUUGG